ACUUGGUGUUACUGCGAAGGGGGGACGGAGAAGGCUAUGUUGGCCGGGCGACGGUUGUCCCGGUUUAAGCGUGUAGGUGUGUGUUCCAGGUAAAUCCGGUUCACUUUAACACUGAGGCGUGACGACGAGGCACUACGGUGCUGAAGCAACAAAUGCCCUGCUUCCAGGAAAAGCCUCUAAGCAUCAGGUAACAUCAAAUC
rnacentral:rRNA from 3 species